CUCAUAAUUCAAAGUAUGCAAUAUCACUCACAAGUUUGAAUAAUAUCUCUUUUCUCAUCACCUACACAUAACACACACACUUUUGAGGUCUUUCGGGUUGUGGCUUGGCUGGGGUUAGGGUAUGGAUAAAAAAAGGAAAACAAGUGACUUUUGGUUCAGAGUCGAUGUUACAUCCUGUGUUUGUUUCUUUUAUUUCCUCGAUUUUCUUUUCUUAUUUCUUUUUCACCGACUGCCCUUUUCCGUGCUUCUUUUUUUUGAAUCUUCGAGUUGUCGAAUUUUUAUUUUUCGUUCUUUUUCUCGAUUCAUCACUUUUUCCUUUUCUCUUGUUUUUGCACUUUCUUGGGCUUUGAGAGCUUUUGGGUUUUAACCCCAAACUUCGCUUUUCAACACAACUUUGAAUGCAUUAUCAUGACUCUGAACAGGGUGAGGAAGUGUUUUGGCCAACGGUUACAUUUAUGGUGUUUAAACAAAAAAAUGGAUAUAGGCUCAAAGGGGGUUAACGAGGGAUAUAAUUAUUCGGGAUGGCUAGAAAGGCUC
rnacentral:lncRNA from 1 species